rnacentral:antisense_RNA from 1 species
ACAGAGUUUCGCUCGUGUUGCCCAGGCUGGAGUGCAGUGGCAUGAUCUCGGCUCACUGCAAUCUCCAUCUCCCGGAUUCAAGCGAUUCUCCUGCCUCAGCCUCCCGAGUAGCUGGGAUUAAAGGCACGCGCCACAACGCCCGGCUAAUUUUUUUUGUAUUUUUAGUACAGAUGGGGUUUCACCAUGUUGGUCAGGCUGGUCUCAAACUCCUGACCUCAGGUGAUCCGCCCACCUCGGCCUCCCAAAGUGCUGGGAUUACAGGCGUGAGCCACUGCGCCCCGCCGGGCUCCUGCUGUUUCAACCCAUUCCUUGGAUGGUGCUGCCUCCAAGUGUUCGGACCUUAGCCCCAGGUGGUCUUAUUCUCCACCAGUAACCCCCGCUCCAACUCCCUAAAGUCCGACCCGCCCCAGGCCUGGCUCUAUCCCUCCAGAUGACGCCCCGGGAGGCCAGAGUGCAGGGCCGGCCAGAGAGAGUCACAGUCCGGCACCGAGAGGCAACUCGGCAGCUGGCGGGGCCCGGGCUCGAACCCAGGGACUCACCGAAACCGAGGUGACCGUCGCACGC